rnacentral:rRNA from 1 species
UACGAAGGGGGCUAGCGUUGUUCGGAAUUACUGGGCGUAAAGCGUGCGCAGGCGGCUGCUCAAGUCAGGGGUGAAAGCCCAGAGCUCAACUCUGGAAUUGCCUUUGAGACUGAGUGGCUUGAGUACGGGAGAGGUGAGUGGAAUUCCCAGUGUGGAGGUGAAAUUCGUAGAUAUUGGGAAGAACACCGGUGGCGAAGGCGGCUCACUGGCCCGUAACUGACGCUCAUGCACGACAGCGUGGGGAUCAAACAGG